rnacentral:snRNA from 1 species
AAGUGUUUACAGUUGUUUUAGAAUUUGUCUAGCAGGUUUUCCAGUCCUCGCCAGAAGACCCUC